GCUGAGACACGGCCCAGACUCCUACGGGAGGCAGCAGUGGGGAAUUUUGGACAAUGGGCGCAAGCCUGAUCCAGCAAUGCCGCGUGAGUGAAGAAGGCCUUCGGGUUGUAAAGCUCUUUUGUCAGGGAAGAAACGGUGGAGGUUAAUACCUUCUGCUAAUGACGGUACCUGAAGAAUAAGCACCGGCUAACUACGUGCCAGCAGCCGCGGUAAUACGUAGGGUGCAAGCGUUAAUCGGAAUUACUGGGCGUAAAGCGUGCGCAGGCGGUUGUGCAAGACAGAUGUGAAAUCCCCGGGCUCAACCUGGGAAUUGCAUUUGUGACUGUACGGCUAGAGUGUGUCAGAGGGGGGUAGAAUUCCACGUGUAGCAGUGAAAUGCGUAGAGAUGUGGAGGAAUACCGAUGGCGAAGGCAGCCCCCUGGGAUAACACUGACGCUCAUGCACGAAAGCGUGGGGAGCAAACAGGAUUAGAUACCCUGGUAGUCCACGCCCUAAACGAUGUCUACUAGUUGUCGGGUCUUUAUUGACUUGGUAACGCAGCUAACGCGUGAAGUAGACCGCCUGGGGAGUACGGUCGCAAGAUUAAAACUCAAAGGAAUU
rnacentral:rRNA from 2 species